rnacentral:rRNA from 1 species
GAUUGCCUCAGUAACGGCGAGUGAAGCGGCAAGAGCUCAAAUUUGAAAGCUGGCUCCUUCGGAGUCCGCAUUGUAAUUUGCAGAGGAUGCUUUGGGUGCGGCCCCCCUCUAAGUGCCCUGGAACGGGCCGUCAGAGAGGGUGAGAAUCCCGUCUUGGGCGGGGUGUCCGUGCCCGUGUAAAGCUCCUUCGACGAGUCGAGUUGUUUGGGAAUGCAGCUCUAAAUGGGUGGUAAAUUUCAUCUAAAGCUAAAUACUGGCCGGAGACCGAUAGCGCACAAGUAGAGUGAUCGAAAGAUGAAAAGCACUUUGAAAAGAGAGUUAAACAGCACGUGAAAUUGUUGAAAGGGAAGCGCUUGCGACCAGACUCGCCCGCGGGGUUCAGCCGGCAUUCGUGCCGGUGUACUUCCCCGUGGGCGGGCCAGCGUCGGUUUGGGCGGCCGGUCAAAGGCCCCUGGAAUGUAGUGCCCUCCGGGGCACCUUAUAGCCAGGGGUGCAAUGCGGCCAGCCUGGACCGAGGAACGCGCUUCGGCACGGACGCUGGCAUAAUGGUCGUAAACGACCCGUCUUGAAACACGGACC